rnacentral:rRNA from 1 species
GCAAGUCGAACGCUUCUUUUUCCACCGGAGCUUGCUCCACCGGAAAAAGAGGAGUGGCGAACGGGUGAGUAACACGUGGGUAACCUGCCCAUCAGAAGGGGAUAACACUUGGAAACAGGUGCUAAUACCGUAUAACAAUCGAAACCGCAUGGUUUNGAUUUGAAAGGCGCUUUCGGGUGUCGCUGAUGGAUGGACCCGCGGUGCAUUAGCUAGUUGGUGAGGUAACGGCUCACCAAGGCGACGAUGCAUAGCCGACCUGAGAGGGUGAUCGGCCACAUUGGGACUGAGACACGGCCCAAACUCCUACGGGAGGCAGCAGUAGGGAAUCUUCGGCAAUGGACGAAAGUCUGACCGAGCAACGCCGCGUGAGUGAAGAAGGUUUUCGGAUCGUAAAACUCUGUUGUUAGAGAAGAACAAGGAUGAGAGUAACUGUUCAUCCCUUGACGGUAUCUAACCAGAAAGCCACGGCUAACUACGUGCCAGCAGCCGCGG